GAUGAACGCUGGCGGCGUGCCUAAUACAUGCGAGUCGAGCGAACAGACGAGGAGCUUGCUCCCCUGACGUUAGCGGCGGACGGGUGAGUAACACGUGGAUAACCUACCUAUAAGACUGGGAUAACUUCGGGAAACCGGAGCUAAUACCGGAUAAUAUAUUGAACCGCAUGGUUCAAUAGUGAAAAACGGUUUUGCUGUCACUUAUAGAUGGAUCCGCGCCGCAUUAGCUAGUUGGUAAGGUAACGGCUUACCAAGGCAACGAUGCGUAGCCGACCUGAGAGGGUGAUCGGCCACACUGGAACUGAGACACGGUCCAGACUCCUACGGGAGGCAGCAGUAGGGAAUCUUCCGCAAUGGGCGAAAGCCUGACGGAGCAACGCCGCGUGAGUGAUGAAGGUCUUCGGAUCGUAAAACUCUGUUAUUAGGGAAGAACAAAUGUGUAAGUAACUAUGCACGUCUUGACGGUACCUAAUCAGAAAGCCACGGCUAACUACGUG
rnacentral:rRNA from 1 species